CCUACGGGUGGCUGCAGUGGGGGAUAUUGGACAAUGGGGGGAACCCUGAUCCAGCGACGCCGCGUGAGUGAAGAAGUAUCUCGGUAUGUAAAGCUCUAUCAGCAGGGAAGAAGAAAUGACGGUACCUGAGUAAGAAGCCCCGGCUAACUACGUGCCAGCAGCCGCGGUAAUACGUAGGGGGCAAGCGUUAUCCGGAAUUACUGGGUGUAAAGGGAGCGUAGACGGUGAUGUAAGUCUGGAGUGAAAGGCGGGGGCCCAACCCCCGGACUGCUCUGGAAACUAUUGAACUUGAGUGCAGGAGAGGUAAGCGGAAUUCCUAGUGUAGCGGUGAAAUGCGUAGAUAUUAGGAGGAACACCAGUGGCGAAGGCGGCUUACUGGACUGUAACUGACGUUGAGGCUCGAAAGCGUGGGGAGCAAACAGGAUUAGAUACCCCAGUAGUC
rnacentral:rRNA from 1 species